rnacentral:rRNA from 1 species
GUAGGAUAGGGCGGAGCCGCCGGUGACCCCGGCGGUGGCGGUGGCAGCGGCAGAGGGGGGCGGCGAGAAUGGCCGCUGGGGCGAGGAGGCGGAGCCGAUGACCCCGGCGGUGGCGGCGGCAGAGGGGGUCGGCGAUGAUGGCCGAUGGGGCGAGGAGGCGGAGCCGAUGACCCUGGCGGCGGCGGCGGCGGAGGGGUCCCAGGGGCUCGAGGACCAACGUCUGAUGCAGCCGUGGUUCCUCGCCGUCAAGAGCUAGAUCGAGCGCACGGCGGUGUAGCCGUCCAGAGGAAGAGGAAGAGCACCCUGCGCCGGUUCGGCCGUGGCGUCACGGAUAGGAGGUCGCCGCCUCGUCGUGCAGCGCGCGAUGGUGGACCGAUGGGCGUCCAAGAGGCAUUUGACCUUGCCGGAUCACGCUGCUGCUGGCGUAAUCCAGUCCGGAUCUGUGGAGAGCCCGGCGCAGCACCGUCUACAGGACACAGGUCCAUAUCUCUUACAGUCUUACUCUACCUUAUUCCUUGUAAGUUCACGGCUUCCAUUGCUCUUCAGUUCUGGUUAGUAGUUGGAAACUGUAAAAGUAUCUGACGAAGCACAUGAGCUUUCCACAGUGGCCAUGUAACUAAAUUCUGAAUGUUGCUUCGUUAUGCUUAAUGGAGCAGGUGGGCAACUCUCUUUUGUCUAAGAUUUUGCAAGUCUGUGAUAUAUGUAUUAUGUAAAACAGGUUAUGACUGAUUCUGCAGUUGUUGAUUCGAUUUUUUUGCUUCCAAUGCUUUGUUAGUUUGAUAAGGGCCGGAGCUUCAAUGAUGAAUCUACUAUCCAGCACACAGCCCAACUCGACAGGCACUAGCCAUGUCAACAGGUACUCAGGGGCAUGCUCGCCUCGGCAGUCAUCAAGGUGGCAAUAGGACACUUGAAUUCUACCAUUUCAGGCGAGAUCAAGCUGCACAGGAAUAUGAGGAACGAUCCGAUCUAGAGAACAUGAAGAUGACGCUGGAGUUGGUGGACGCUGUGCUCCGCGACACAGAGAGGGAGUCUAUCAAGCAUAAGUCCAUGCUUCUGUGGCUGAAGCAACUUAAGGAUGCCGUGAACGACAUCUCUCACAUGCUUGAAGAUUUUGAAGAUGAAACCGACCUCAACUUGGUAUUUGGCAAUGUUGGCUCUUGGGCUGCCCAAUUGAUCACUGAAGCUGGUGGCGAGGUGGUCUCCAUCAGAGAUGUCACAGGGGCUGUCAAGAACUCCAAAUGGCAUUGACGUAGCCAAGCUGAUGAAGCACUCGGCAGAGAACCGCAGGAUCAAGGGCUCCGACAAAAGGCGACGCCGUCGACCCGACCUCGCUGCUCACGGAAGAGUGCGAUGUGCUCAUCCCGGCAGCUCUGGGAGGAGUCAUAAACAAGUAUUCUUCUUCUUCCUCGUCCCAGCAAAGCAAAGUACAUCAUCGAGGCAAAGUACAUCAUCGAGGCUGCUAACCACCCAACAAACCCCGAGGCCGAAGAGAUUCUGGCAAAGAAGGGCGUGCUGAUCCUACCAGACAUCCUAGCCAACUCCGGCGGAGUGAUGGUGAGCUACUUCAAGUGGGUGCAGAACCCCUCACUUCGGAGGAGUGAUGGUGAGCUACUUCAAGUGGGUGCAGAACAUCCAGGGGUUCAUGUGAGACGAGGAGAAGGUGAAUCGGGAGUUCAAGACGUACAUGACCCGCGCCUCAAACAUAGUUCUGAUUAUUUAGGCAGUGUAUGGCACCGUAUAAAAUGGACAGUAAUUAUGUAUAGUAUAUCUUCGAAAACCAGAAUUGGCUCAAUUUGGAACAAUGCCUGCUUUAUAUGAAUUUCUUGCCCACUUUGCACGCGUUGCUACAAGUGCAUUACCAUGCCUCAGCCAUAAUCAUCCUUGACAAAUAUGGCAAUCACCUUUAGUAUGGAACAGAAGAAGCAUCUAUUUUGUCAAUGAGCAAGUUUAGCAUAUGUUUGUACAUUGCUGAUCUAAUUAGUAAGCAGAACUCUGUUAUAGUAAAACUAGCUAGAGGAUCACAGCACCACACGUUGUCACAGCUUCACUUUCUGGAAUGGUAUGGUUGAUGGCACCAGCCCCUCCUCAAGAUGGAGGUCACGGGUUUGCAGGGGGCAUACUGGAG